GGUCCAUAGCUCAGUGGGUAGAACAUCUGCUCUGCAUGCAGAAGGACCCGGGUUCAAGCCCCAGCAUCUCCU